rnacentral:rRNA from 1 species
GAUCCUGGCUCAGGAUGAACGCUAGCGACAGGCUUAACACAUGCAAGUCGAGGGGCAGCACGGUGUAGCAAUACACUGGUGGCGACCGGCGCACGGGUGAGUAACACGUGUGCAACCAACCCCGUACCGGGAGAUAACCCGCGGAAACGUGGACUAACAUCCCAUAAUACUGGAGGAUCGCAUGAUCUUUCAUUUAAAAUUCCGGUGGUACGGGACGGGCACGCGCGACAUUAGGUAGUUGGCGGGGUAACGG